rnacentral:hammerhead_ribozyme from 1 species
AUCCAGCUGACGAGUCCUAAAUAGGAUGAAACGCGUGUCCUGGAU